AGAGCGAACGCUGGCGGCAGGCUUAACACAUGCAAGUCGAGCGGGCGUAGCAAUACGUCAGCGGCAGACGGGUGAGUAACGCGUGGGAACAUACCUUUUGGUUCGGAACAACACAGGGAAACUUGUGCUAAUACCGGAUAAGCCCUUACGGGGAAAGAUUUAUCGCCGAAAGAUUGGCCCGCGUCUGAUUAGCUAGUUGGUGAGGUAACGGCUCACCAAGGCGACGAUCAGUAGCUGGUCUGAGAGGAUGAUCAGCCACAUUGGGACUAAGACACGGCCCAAACUCCUACGGGAGGCAGCAGUGGGAAUAUUGGACAAUGGGCGCAAGCCUGAUCCAGCCAUGCCGCGUGAGUGAUGAAGGCCCUAGGGUUGUAAAGCUCGUUUUGUGCGGGAAGAUAAUGACGGUACCGCAAGAAUAAGCCCGGCUAACUUCGUGCCAGCAGCCGC
rnacentral:rRNA from 1 species